GAGAGCGGCGCACGGGUGCGGAACACGUGUGCAACCUGCCUUUAUCUGGGGGAUAGCCUUUCGAAAGGAAGAUUAAUACCCCAUAAUAUAUUGAGUGGCAUCACUUGAUAUUGAAAACUCCGGUGGAUAGAGAUGGGCACGCGCAAGAUUAGAUAGUUGGUGAGGUAACGGCUCACCAAGUCAAUGAUCUUUAGGGGGCCUGAGAGGGUGAUCCCCCACACUGGUACUGAGACACGGACCAGACUCCUACGGGAGGCAGCAGUGAGGAAUAUUGGACAAUGGGUGAGAGCCUGAUCCAGCCAUCCCGCGUGAAGGACGACUGCCCUAUGGGUUGUAAACUUCUUUUAUACUGGGAUAAACCUACCCUUCGUGAGGGUAGCUGAAGGUACAGUAUGAAUAAGCACCGGCUAACUCCGUGCCAGCAGCCGCGGUAAUACGGAGGGUGCAAGCGUUAUCCGGAUUUAUUGGGUUUAAAGGGUCCGUAGGCGGACUCGUAAGUCAGUGGUGAAAUCUCAUAGCUUAACUAUGAAACUGCCAUUGAUACUGCGGGUCUUGAGUAAAGUAGAAGUGGCUGGAAUAAGUAGUGUAGCGGUGAAAUGCAUAGAUAUUACUUAGAACACCAAUUGCGAAGGCAGGUCACUAUGUUUUAACUGACGCUGAUGGACGAAAGCGUGGGGAGCGAACAGGAUUAGAUACCCUGGUAGUCCACGCCGUAAACGAUGCUAACUCGUUUUUGGGUUUUCGGAUUCAGAGACUAAGCGAAAGUGAUAAGUUAGCCACCUGGGGAGUACGUUCGCAAGAAUGAAACUCAAAGGAAUUGACGGGGGCCCGCACAAGCGGUGGAUUAUGUGGUUUAAUUCGAUGAUACGCGAGGAACCUUACCAAGGCUUAAAUGGGAAUUGACAGGUUUAGAAAUAGAUCCUUCUUCGGACAAUUUUCAAGGUGCUGCAUGGUUGUCGUCAGCUCGUGCCGUGAGGUGUUAGGUUAAGUCCUGCAACGAGCGCAACCCCUGUCACUAGUUGCCAUCAUUCAGUUGGGGACUCUAGUGAGACUGCCUACGCAAGUAGAGAGGAAGGUGGGGAUGACGUCAAAUCAUCACGGCCCUUACGCCUUGGGCCACACACGUAAUACAAUGGCCGGUACAGAGGGCAGCUACUAUGCGAAUAGAUGCGAAUCUCGAAAGCCGGUCUCAGUUCGG
rnacentral:rRNA from 1 species